ensembl:lincRNA
AUUACAUCAGCAUGGCAUUGAGCAAAGGUGCUCCACCUGAGGAGGGUUGCCAGGAUAAAUAGGUGGAGAAGAAGGGAGGUGUGGAGGGUUGAGGCGUUAAGGAGGCAUUGUGGGUUCUCCUACGAGUUGCUGUCUGAGCUGUUGGUUCUCCUGGAGAAGCUCUGGUCCUCACAUUGAGCAUGGCUUCCUGGCUCUGGAGGGUAAGACAUGUGCUGCUUGGUCUCCAGGAUGAACUCGUCACGCUGCUUUCUGGCACGUACCCCACUGUGCUUGUCGGAGGAGGAGCUCGGGGCCUCCGUAUCGCUGAGGACAGCUGUGGUGCCUUUCAGGACAGCCCUGCUCUUUGUUGUGAGUGUGAUUUCUGGGCUCCAGCGUAGAGCCCUCAUCCCACCAGCACAGUUCCUUCAUCCUGCUGGCAUAGACUUUCUGGCUUCCACCGCUGACUCUUGGGUCUUCCCGGCACGGAUCCGUAAAAGAGACUGGCAUGAGUCCUUCUUGUGGGCUCUGGACCUCCAGUUGGACUCAUGUUUCCUCUAAGGAACAACAAUAACAACACUAUUCUGACCAGACCUAGAACAUUUUUCUUUUCCAAGGAAGAAACGUUAAGCAGAAGUUGAUAAUGGAGGCCAGAUCUGGCUCCUGGGUGCACAGGAGUGCUCUGUGGCCCAGGCCUGAGAUGUGUGCUCUGUCUCUGUAGUUGGCAAUGUGUGUAAGUGGCCCACACUGCCCACCCUUUCUGGAAGGUUCCUUUGCUUGUCAGCUAUGCUGAUGUCAUGCCAGAAGCCCUGGGAUGUCACUGGUAGGUGUGGAGUGGGAGGUGCUCAGCAUCUCCUGGCCUGAUGGGCAGCUCCUUCUCUGUCCUGCUUCCCAUGCAGGCCAGACAGAUUGUAGAGGUGGCCCAAAGUGCCCUCUGUUCCCCAAAGCUCCUGACUCCAAGCUCCGAGCCUCCUGCUCUGCUGGAAGACCGCGGUGAGCCUGUGCCUUUUCCUGGAGCCCUAUCAUCCAGCUCAGCAAGUCUGUGCCCUCAAGUCCACUUGGCGGGGUCCUCUCAGCUGGAUGGUGCCUCCCAGUGGCAUGCUGUGGGCUGAUCCAGGCAGGUGACGGCAAUUAAUUGGAACCAGAUCCUUCCCCUCAUGGGACUCGGGAGCUUUCAAAGCAGAAAACAAGAAAAUGAUCAAAUAAGUGAGGGAAGAGGUGAAAUAAAAUUGGAAUGUGCUCAUGAGCAAGGAGGGCGGUGAGUUCUUUCAAUUGGGCUCAGGGAGCCUCUUUCAAGAAAAGGACCUUUGCCUCCGACCUGAGUGGACUUAAAAAUGACUAGGUUUGUGAGAAGGAAGGAAAUAACACCUACUGAGACCUACUGGGUACUUUUGUGGAGACUGAGCCCAGAAUUUUCUGCUGAGCUACCUCCCAGGCCUGUUUACUUCUUUAGAUACAGAGUCUGGCUAAGUCAUCGAGUUGCCUAGGCUGGGCUUGAACUCACAACCCUCCUGUCUCAACAUCUGAGGAUGCUGGGGUUGCAGGCGUGAGCCUCUGUGUCUGGCUCCGAUAUCACUUUGAACCCUGUUUCAAGGAGAAAGGUAGUACUUGAUACAGAGAUCGCAAGUUUGCCACUUAAAAGGGUCAGAGCCCAAUUUGUGUCCAGAUCACUGUGGAACCCACAUUUGUGCUUUCCUACCAAGCACGGUACGUAUGGCAGGGCUGGCAGCCCAGUCUGUGGGCAGCUCGGGCUCUGGCGAGAGAGGACAACACCAAGGACAAUCAUUGGCCCAUUCUUUUGUUCACAGUCCGAAGAGCUCCAUGCUUGUGAUCGGGAUGGCUGGUGGUGGGAAAGGCUGGGACAGCACUAGAAAAAUAUUUUUGGUUCAGAAAGUCUCCUCUGAUCUUCUCUGUCAAGCAGACACGUGACACGUUUCUACUUAUCAUCUUGGCCACCAGUGGACAGAAUCCUCUGUCCUUGGUGAAGGCCCGAGUUGCAGCAGGGCUGGUCCCAAUGAAGCCAGCUCUGGGCAUGCUGAGACUUCUGGGAGCUGCUUUGGUGGGGGGCCAAAUUCAGGCUUCUCAGGUUAUGAUACAUCUGCAAGGGCUGGGGGUGAACUAACCAGCCAGAGACCACCAACAGGACUCUCAAGCCUGGUCUCCUUCCUCGGUAACCUAGGAGACAUCGGAAAAUGUCUCUACUGACAAAUACAGGAAGGAAGGAAGGAAGGAAGGAAGGAAGGAAGGAAGGAAGGAAGGAAGGCUCUCUGACUGGACAGACAGCAAGGUCAACAGGAGAGGCAGGCCUGAGACUUUUCACUGUGCCCAGAACCAGCAGGAUCCAGCAGAAAUCUGGCAGCCUAACUACAUUCUUUCUCACUCACCCACAGCUAAUGCAUCUUCCUGGCAAAGCAGGUCUCUUCUUCCAUAAGGAGCACCACAGGGCAGGUUGUUAUCGUAACAGCCUGCCAAAGCCAGCUCUAAAUUGUCCCUGAACCAGUGAUAAUAAACCAAAUAGCUACAAAUAGACACAAAUUUGCAGAAAAGUGAGCUGUCCAAGGGAUGCUUGACUUGGGAGCAGAGAGAAAUGUGGUGAAUGUCAGCACUGCAGUGAAGGAUCUUCAGGUUAUCUUGUGGUCCAGUGGCGGAGCCAAGUCUGAGGGUGCCGAGUUCCUGCAUGUUUUGAGCUUUCCUGAGACUGUGUCUUCAGCCUUCUCGAUGUUGUAACUUGGCAUCACUGACGCCAUCUUCAGCCCUGCAUUUAACUGGUGCCCUGUGUUUGACCCAGGAAAAUGGAAAAAUUACUCAGGGUAUAAGUUCCAUGAGAAAAGCAGAACGAGCUGUACCCACAGUAGAAAAAUUAACCUGCUCAACAAAAGAAGCAGGAUACAGGUGUCAACGGAAAAUUAAUGAAAGAUUCCAGCUGAAUUGUUUCCAACAGGAUGUCUUUUGUGAUUCUCUGUUUUAAUAUCUCUGUAACUUUCCAGUUCCGCGCCACUUGUUUGGACCCUGAAACGGGAGAGGGGGGGUCUGUAUAUGAGUGGUCCUGAGCUCAGCUAAUUAACUUUUGAAUUUAUCAGUUUGGCUGCUUGGAUUCCUACAUUGCUGUUCAUGAACCCACCUCACUCGUGUCAUGGUUUGUAAUUUUUGAUGGGAUGCUCUGACCGAGUGGGUGAGUUUGCAAUCUUGGAGUUCCGGGCCCCAGAGAGGUUAAACGUUUAUUCUGCAAUGAAUAAAAUUCUGGUGUAGAAGCAGUGAGCAAGUUUCAUUGUGUUCAGAGUCUGAAACUAAAAGAUACUCUUGGAAAAAUGGGAUGAGAUCUGGUUGUCUGUUUAGUCCAUCGCUGAUUGGGUAUGAAGCUGUGUUCGGAGCGAUGGGGUUGGAAACCAGUAAAUCCUACCCACCUGUCUCACGUUUAGUUAGUUAGAGAUUCUGCUUCAGUGACGGACAACCAACCAGCCACAAGUGGUCAGUCACCUUCCUCUAGGCGGAGACCUUUGGAGGCUCAAAAGGAGAGACACAGAAGUAUACUUUGUUUCAACUACCUCAUGUUUUCUCCUUUAGUCCAUAUGACUUCAUUUUUUUCACUUCUUUUUAAACAAAAGCAAUUGUUCCAUUAAUAACAUAAAAUUUAGAAAAUAAACAAAACGGAAAGAGGGGAAAUGUCACCCACAAACUUACUAUCCACAUGCAAGCAAAAGUAACAUUG